AUUGAACGCUGGCGGCAGGCCUAACACAUGCAAGUCGAGCGGAUGAAGGGAGCUUGCUCCUGGAUUCAGCGGCGGACGGGUGAGUAAUGCCUAGGAAUCUGCCUGGUAGUGGGGGAUAACGUCCGGAAACGGGCGCUAAUACCGCAUACGUCCUGAGGGAGAAAGUGGGGGAUCUUCGGACCUCACGCUAUCAGAUGAGCCUAGGUCGGAUUAGCUAGUUGGUGGGGUAAAGGCCUACCAAGGCGACGAUCCGUAACUGGUCUGAGAGGAUGAUCAGUCACACUGGAACUGAGACACGGUCCAGACUCCUACGGGAGGCAGCAGUGGGGAAUAUUGGACAAUGGGCGAAAGCCUGAUCCAGCCAUGCCGCGUGUGUGAAGAGGGUCUUCGGACUGUAAAGCACUUUAAGUUGGGAGGAAGGGCAGUAAGUUAAUACCUUGCUGUUUUGACGUUACCAACAGAAUAAGCACCGGCUAACUUCGUG
rnacentral:rRNA from 1 species